GGCUUCCAGCAGGGGGCGUGGCUUCCAGCAGGGGGCGUGGCUUCCAGCAGGGGGCGGGCGCUGUGCCGCCGGCUGGGCUCGGCCAUGGCGCGGCCGUCUCCGUCCUCCUACCGGGCGGCGGUGCCUCCUCGGGCUGCCUGCGUGUACACCAGUUGCUACUGCGAAGAGAACGUGUGGAAGCUCUGCGAGUACAUCAGGAGCCAGGAUCGGUACCCUCUGGAGGAGUUCUAUGCUGUUUUCAUAUCCAACGAUAGGAGGAUGAUUCCACUCUGGAGACAGAAAUCAGGGCAUGGAGAUGAACCUGUUGUCUGGGACUACCAUGUUAUCCUACUUCACAUUCCGGGUGGAGAGCAGAACUUCAUUUAUGACCUUGACACUGUGUUGCCAUUUCCGUGUCCUUUUGAGAUGUACAGCAUGGAGGCCUUUAGGCCGGAUGACAGCCUUCAUCCAGAAUUUCACAGGAAGAUCAGAAUGAUUCGAGCAGAUGUGUACUUGAAGACAUUUGCUUCAGACAGAUCUCAUAUGAAGGAUGCAAAUGGGAAAUGGCAGAAACCUCCUCCUUCAUACCCUUGCAUUGAAACUGCUGGUUAUUUUCACAGCUUGUCAAUGAGAACAUACAGUAACAAGCCCACAGAUAGGAAAUCUCUGAUCAGUAUGGUUCUGAGUCAGCACAGGAUGCUUGUACCAGACCAGCUCUGGAAAAGGGAUAUACAAGGCGUCUAAACCCAAACUGCAGAUCAGAACGUUUCACUGAGCACUCUGGGAUCUGCAACUGGGACAGAAUGGUUUCUACCUUUCCUACUGAAGUCAGAUUCCAAGAUGAACUUGGAUGAUUUCAUCAGUAUGAAUCCCAAAGUGGGAUGGGGCUCAGUGUUCACCUUAGUGGACUUUGUGUAUC